GACGAACGCUGGCGGCGUGCCUAAUACAUGCAAGUCGAGCGCAGGAAACUGACGGAACUCUUCGGAGGGAAGGCAGCGGAAUGAGCGGCGGACGGGUGAGUAACACGUAAGGAACCUGCCUCAAGGAUUGGGAUAACUCCGAGAAAUCGGAGCUAAUACCGGAUAGUUCAACGGACCGCAUGGUCCGCUGAUGGAAGGCGCUUCGGCGUCACCUUGAGAUGGCCUUGCGGUGCAUUAGCUAGUUGGUGGGGUAACGGCCCACCAAGGCGACGAGGCAUAGCCGACCUGAGAGGGGGAUCGGCCACACUGGGACUGGGACACGGCCCAGACUCCUACGGGAGGCAGCAGUAGGGAAUCUUCCACAAUGGACGAAAGUCUGAUGGAGCAACGCCGCGUGAGUGAUGAAGGUUUUCGGAUCGUAAAACUCUGUUGUAAGGGAAGAACACGUACGAGAGGAAAUGCUCGUACCUUGACGGUACCUUACGAGAAAGCCACGGCUAACUACGUGCCAGCCGCCGCCGUAA
rnacentral:rRNA from 1 species